rnacentral:rRNA from 1 species
CCACCUCAGCUACGCAUGAAUACCCGCUGAACUUAAGCAUAUCGCUAAGCGGAG